rnacentral:lncRNA from 1 species
GUACAUUGGGAUCCUAGAGACUGCAUAUUAUUGGGCACAAUAACUAAUGGUGCCAGACUCUACUGAGGUGCAAGUGUACAUAUCAGGGGCACCUGGGUUGUUCUGUGGUUAAGCAUCUUCCUUUGGCUCAGGUUAUGAUCCUGGGGUCCUGGGAUCAAGUCCUGCAUCAGGCUCCUCACAGGAAGCCUGCUUUUCCCUCUGCCUGUGUCUCUACCUCUGACUCUCUGUGUCUCUCAAGAAUAACAAAUAAAAUCUUAAAACAAAACACAUGUACAUAUCCAUCAGCAACUGUUCAAUGGGCAGGGUUUUUUUUAAAGAUUUUAUUUAUUUAUUCAUGAGAGAUACACAGAGAGAGAGAGAGAGAGAGGCACAGGCAGAGGGAGAAGCAGGCUCCAUGCAGGGAGCCCGACGUGGGACUCGAUCCAGUGUCUCCAGGGACACGCCCUGGGCCUAAGGCAGUGCUAAACCGCUGAGCCACCUGGGCUACCCGAAUGGACAGUUUUUAAGCAUUGCCUUACUAACACUAACUCCUAGUCCUCAACCUGACACUUACAAACCUUCAUCUGAUGAAUCCAUCCAACCAACCAUUCUGAAGACCAUAUAAAUAUAAACAUAGAUGAUACUAGAAUCUAAUUUGUUCAACCACCCUCAGAUCCAUUCAAGCCACAGAUAUAGAUCUACUUUAAAGCUUCUUUAAAGCUUCUAAUUCUAAAUUGUUUUAAAUUGUGGGCUAAUUUAUCAUUAUCAUUAAUUUAUUUUUGUAACUAAGUAAUUUUAGUACCAAAUUUAAAUUUGGUACUAAAUUUAAAUUAAAUUUAAAGAAAAUUUUAUUUUCUUUAAAGCUUCUAAUUCUAAAUUGUUUUAAAUUGUGGGCUAAUUUAAAAUUAAUUGUUUUAAAAAGUGGGAUAAUUUAUCAUUAUCAUUAAUUUAUUUUUGUAAUUAAGUAAUUUUAGUACCAAUUUCAGGUACAAACCAAGAGGAAAGGAGAAGACUUACUAACAUAUGGUCUUGUCUAGAGCAGAUAUUUAUUAUUAUUUUUUGUAUUCUGUGAUCACCCGGCCCAUGGAAUAAAAUGACUUAUUGAUGGGAUCUCUUUCAUUAACUAACUUUCAAGGAAUACCAGUUCUGCUCCCACUGAUGUGAUUUUCAGUAUCUGGCACUUGUGUCAUAUGAAACAAAUAAUCACUGGUUUCUUACUUUGAGUUUGGCCUGGCAUUCACCCAGGAAAGAAGGAUUGUACAUCAUUCUUCCUGACCAUGAGAUGUUGCUUAUCUGAUAGGAUAAAAUAGAGAAGAUCUCCAGCUUUGUGAUUUUUUUAUGACCGAAGUCAGGAUGUGAACUUAGGGAUCUCUCCUUUUAUGAUUUAAAAGUUAUAUUCUAUAUACAUUUUUCAUAGUAACAGUGCUGUUUUCUUCGUGGUGUUUUUUGUUUUUCUUGCUGUUUCUCUACUUUUCCCCUUGUUGUAUCACAGUGGAACUUCUUCACUCUCUUUCUUCCACAUAGUAUAUCUUUCUAGGUCACACCAUGGCUGCCUCAAGAAUUUUAAUGAGAGUUAUAAAUCUACAGUGUCCACAUACCUGGAAAUUCUCUUCCUGACCUUAUCCUUCAUCAUUUUCGCAUGAGAAUUUGUUAUGACUUUGAGGAAUGGUAUGUUUUAAGAAAACAAAUUCUAUAAAUAGGUGGUGCCCUUCGUUACACAGUGAGGAUGGCAUGAGCCUACUGGUCAUCUGUCAAUAAAGCCAUCUGUUGCUUGUUGGUUUUCUACAAUAGAGUUCUCAUUAUGAAGCUUGCACCUCCUUUCCUCAAAUUAAGCUAUGUUUUGUUUUUGUUUUUGUUUUGCUGUCUCAUUAUCUUUCUCUCAAGAACCUAAGAUUUAGUAGAAAGAGCAUUUAAAAUUAAAAAAAAAAUGCAAGUUUCGGUUUGGAGUUGAUCACCAAUUCACUAAAUGAUUCUCAGUUCCCACAUCUGUUAAAUGGAUAAAAAGAUAGCAAACUUCAAAGGAUUGCUCUAAGUUUCAAAUAAUGAAAUAUAGGUAAAAUGCUAAUAUUUUAUCUUAUAGACUGUUCUCAUAAAAACCUGGUGUCAUUGCUAUUGUAAUAUUGUGAACAUAUUUUAUUCCUGAUUGUUGAUUUAUGAAGUGUUAGAACCAAAACAUUUCUUAAUUUCAGCCCUUCAUAUUGCAGGCUAGGAAAGGAUGUUGCUCAAGGAGCAGAGGGCAAAAAUAGACUAGUCUCUUCAGACCAUCAUGAUACUCCAUUUUCAAUUCAUGCCAUAAUCUAUUUUAUUUUAUUUUCCCCAGGCUGGUAUUUUUUUUUUUAAGAUUUUAUUUAUUUAUUCAUGAUAGUCACAGAGAGAGAGAGAGAGAGAGAGAGAGAGAGGCAGAGACACAGGCAGAGGGAGAAGCAGGCUCCAUGCACCGGGAGCCCGACGUGGGAUCCGAUCCCGGGUCUCCAGGAUCGCGCCCUGGGCCAAAGGCAGGCGCCAAACCGCUGCGCCACCCAGGGAUCCCUUGGCUGGUAUUUUUAUACUUCCUCCUCUUACUUCAUAACAUUCACUUGUAGACCAUUUUAAAUUUGAACCUAAUAAUCAGGGACUCUGCCUAAUUAACUAAAUCUGCCUAAUGUUUCAUGCAAAACCCUUGGACUUUGAUAUUUUGCAUAUUAAAUAAUUUCAUAAUUUUGAGUUUAUUUCAGUAAUGAUAUAUGCAGAAUUAUUUCACCAAGUAGUGUUGUUUGACCAAAGCUAUACUCUACCCCACAGACAUAGGCAGAUUUCCCCAGUUCAAGGGUGCUGUGAUCUAUUUAAGCCUUGCUAGCCAAACUAAUUAAGAUAUUUCAUUUAGGGAAUUCAGAGUGUUAACUUUUUUUUUUUUUGAGAGUCUCUAACUGAUACUUUAUGUAUUAAUAAAGAAAUAUUUAUUGUGUUGAUUUGUUUCUCCUUAAAAUAUAAUGUGAUGUUGCAUGAUUGGUUUAGCCAGUUUUGAAUAUUAGAAAAUGAUGCAAAAUCACAUGAAUCUUGAAAAGGUCAUAUUUAUUUGAAAAAUCAAUUGAUUGGACUGAAAUCAAUUCAGUUUCCAAGAUCACAAAAUUUGAGAGACCUUACAGGUUUGCUAGGCUGUUGUUUGUAAGCACCCUUAUCAAAGUGUGUAGUCAUAUAAAUACUAACAAUUUGAAUAGCUGGUAAUUUAAACUGUCUUCUUUUACAGAAUGUACAUCAAGCUUCAUAGUUUUCAGUUUCUAAACUCAUCAUAUAUGACUAUUAAAGAAAAUACAGUGAACCCUCAAUUAUUCAGGGAUGGACCAGUCAAUUGACAUAUCCAUCAGUUUCUUAAUUCUUCUAUUUCCUUGCUGCUUGUUUUGUGAUCCUUAUCAGUAUCCACUAGCAAUUUGGUCAAAAUGAAGAAAAGAAACUUUAAAAAAAAAUCCAAUUUAAGUAUUGUUUUUUUAUUUGCAAGUUAGCUUUUAAAUUUGAAAUUGUAGAGAAAACAUUUGAAACACUGGCUUUUAUUGGAAGUUUUGAUAUAUCUGUAUAUAUAUAUAUAUAUAUUAUUGGAAGUUUUUAAAUAUCUAUAUAUUAAAGAUAUCAAAACUCUUCCCCUUUACUAAUUCUGUGGUGUUCAAAGAUAUAUUUUGGCCAGAUAAAGAAGAAUACAGAUGAUACAUUUGAUUUAUCAAUUUUGUUAGUUUGUGUUUUUCUGUUCAACUUUGUUUCAUUUUGUUUCUUUCAGUAAUUUGGUGAGUAAUUUUCUCAAAUUAGUGUUUGCACAAGAGAGAUGUUUGAUGUGUGCUGGGAGACUGUGUCUAUGCCUUCUGAUUGAUGUUAAAUAAAUUCAAUUGGUAAUUUUGAAUUGACCAGCUAUUUUCAUGUAAAAGCAAUAACAGACAUUUUGGUAAGAUAAAAAGGGAACUUAAGGUUCUAGUAAUUAAUUAAAGUGUAAACAAUUCAAUAUCAUCUCCAUCUAUAAAGCCAUCAUUUUCACAAAUCAUACUGUUUUAAACAAGGACAGAAUCUAUCUCUGGUUAAAAAGGAUAUUAAUUUUUAUCUAAUGAAAUAAAGAUAACCACUCAAAAUCAUAUCAUUUGAAUUCUUGGAAACUUUUAAAGCUUAAAUAGAUUUCUACCCUUCACACCCCAUGGGCAUUUUUAAUAAGCCACAAGAUAUGAUUCUCAGCUUGGGUGAGGAAAUAAAAUGGGAAUCUCUCUCUAGAGAACCCUUAUAUAUAUUACAUUCAAUUAGACCUGUGCUGGCUCUGUGAAGUCGUCCUAAAUCACGGUGGAUGAUAACAGUUUGCAAUUUUCAACCAGAGAAUCCACCUUAGUUUGUAAGUUCAGUAGUCAGUGCUUGACAGUAGUAACUUAUUUUGAUAGAGGAGACAUAUAGCAACUACCUUGUAAAGGCUGAAGACCAAAACAUUCAAUUGUCCAAAAAUAUUAUGGAGAGAAGGACAUAUUCUAAUAUAAUUAAUUUGAAAAUGUGAUGAUACUAUAUUUAUUAAAAAUGUAUUAUUUCCCAAAUACUUUUCAACCUUUGCAUAAAUUUGCUAUAUGUGAAUUUUAUUUAUUUCAGCAUAUCCAUUCUGUUUUUGUCUCCUCUGAGCUUUUUUAAAAAUCUGAAUUGCUAUUUCCUUAAUAUUAGUACAGAUUCUAAUGUGUGGUUGGUUAUAUUUUGUAUUUUAAUUUUGUUUUUGUUAUGUAAACUUCAUCAGCAAAAUACCACCUGUUACAUGUUAAAAAUGGACCGUAUCCUCAUUCAAUUUAGUUAAUGUUCAGAAUCCAAAGUCGAAGAGGUGUCCCUCUAUGUUGUUUUGUAGGCAUUUGUUGUUUGCAAGCAUAUGAGAAUUAACUAUUUUAAUAGUAGUAACACAUACUGUUACUGUGGAACAAGAUAUUCCUUGAUCCACAAAACGCAUUGAAAAUUUUAUAAAUUAUAAAGGUGCUGGAUAGGUGAAUCUCAUGCCAGUGUUGAAUAAGUCAAAUGUUUUGACAUUUUAUCAAUUCUUCUAACCAGUUAUCUGAUUUUGACAAAUAUAUUUACACUGUACCCUUUUAAAUCCAUUCAUUUUGUCAUUGCUCUUUGCCAGAGAUGCUAAAUGUUAAUUAAAUCUUUACUAUAUCAAUCACUCUUAUGUUGCAAUUGAAAAAAUACUGUGUAUUCAGUCUCAUCUUAAUAUUUCUCAACUUCAGAAAAUAUUUGUCCAUAGUCAUACUGUAGUUAGUAUGAAUUAUUUCUUUUUUUUUGUGAGUAUGAAUUAUUUCUAAUCAGAUUUUAACCCCUUCUC